UACAGAGGUCUCAAGCGUUGUUCGGAUUCAUUGGGCGUAAAGGGUGCGUAGGCGGCUGCGCGCGUGGAGGGUGAAAUCUCUCGGCUUACCCGGGAGGGGGGCUUUCCAGACGGCGUGGCUUGAGGGACGGAGAGGGGCGUGGAAUUCCGGGUGGAGCGGUGAAAUGCUUAGAUAUGACAUAGAACACCAAUUGCGAAGGCAGCUUGCUACACGGAUAUUGACUCUGAGGCACGAAAGCGUGGGGGAUCAAACAGG
rnacentral:rRNA from 1 species